rnacentral:piRNA from 1 species
UCCCUACGAGAACAUGCCUCUCGCAAAGG